ACGAAGGGUGCAAGCGUUAAUCGGAAUUACUGGGCGUAAAGGGUGCGUAGGCGGUUCGUUAAGUCUGUCGUGAAAUCCCCGGGCUCAACCUGGGAAUGGCGAUGGAUACUGGCGAGCUAGAGUGUGUCAGAGGAUGGUGGAAUUCCCGGUGUAGAGGUGAAAUUCGUAGAUAUUCGCAAGAACACCAGUGGCGAAGGCGGCUCACUGGCCCGGCACUGACGCUGAGGUGCGAAAGCGUGGGGAGCAAACAGGA
rnacentral:rRNA from 1 species